rnacentral:rRNA from 1 species
UCCGUAGGUGAACCUGCGGAAGGAYCAUUA